ensembl:lncRNA
UUUUAAUUCUCUUAGUACACUGUAAAAUUAUUUGUUGCUGCAUUAAAUGAAGUAUAAUCCAAAUGGCUGGUACAGUCAUUUCAACUCUUUGUGAAAGUGAAAACUUCUAAACUUUUAGUUAAUACAAAAUAUGUUGCCAUGAGUUAUUGAUCACAUUAUAUCAAUGACAAUCCCCCCCCCCCCUCUUUUUUGCAGUUUUACAUAAUACACCAACACUUUUACCUGUUCCCAUGCAAGUGGUGGCAGAAGCAUAUGCAGUAAGUUGUGUAUUUUUUCUAACUUGCAUAAAGGGAAGAAAGUGCAACACUCUGUAAUACCCAUUUAUUUCCAUUGCACAGGACAGUGAAGAACCCUCUCAGAAGACUGUCCUUUGGAGGAAGAACCUGUAAGUGCAUAAAUACCUUUACACUAAUUUGUAUAUAGCCUACUUGUGUACCUAUUCUUUCUGUCUGCAAUUUGAGUUGCAGGAGUCCACACCUAGAGAAAGGCCUACAGAAAGGCUUGCAGAAGAGUCUGCACAAAGAACUAAUACAGAGGGUGACAUCCGUUCCCUCUAUAAACGGCAUCUUCAACAAAAAAUUGAGUAUUUUGAGCUGAAAAAACGCAAAUUAAGAGGAGAAAUUGAACUUGACAACUUGAAAAAGAGAAAAAUUGCUCUAGAGAUAGAGUUGCUUCAAAAGGACCUUCAGAGCAAAAGAUGACUUGCUGGCUUUUCUUUAUAAAGAAUUGUUUAAAUAAAACUCUGGG